rnacentral:rRNA from 1 species
CUCUGGGAUAAGCCUGGGAAACUGGGUCUAAUACCGGAUAUGACCAACUGUCGCAUGGUGGUUGGUGGAAAGCUUUUGCGGUGUGGGAUGGGCCCGCGGCCUAUCAGCUUGUUGGUGGGGUAAUGGCCUACCAAGGCGACGACGGGUAGCCGACCUGAGAGGGUGAUCGGCCACACUGGGACUGAAACACGGCCCAGACUCCUACGGGAGGCAGCAGUGGGGAAUAUUGCACAAUGGGCGCAAGCCUGAUGCAGCGACGCCGCGUGAGGGAUGACGGCCUUCGGGUUGUAAACCUCUUUCACCAGGGACGAAGCGUGAGUGACGGUACCUGGAGAAGAAGCACCGGCCAACUACGUGCCAGCAGCCGCGGUAAUACGUAGGGUGCGAGCGUUGUCCGGAAUUACUGGGCGUAAAGAGCUCGUAGGCGGUUUGUCGCGUCGUCUGUGAAAUUCUGCAACUCAAUUGCAGGCGUGCAGGCGAUACGGGCAGACUUGAGUACUACAGGGGAGACUGGAAUUCCUGGUGUAGCGGUGAAAUGCGCAGAUAUCAGGAGGAACACCGGUGGCGAAGGCGGGUCUCUGGGUAGUAACUGACGCUGAGGAGCGAAAGCGUGGGUAGCGAACAGGAUUAGAUACCCUGGUAGUCCACGCCGUAAACGGUGGGUACUAGGUGUGGGUUCCUUUU